GAUGAACGCUGGCGGCGUGCCUAAUACAUGCAAGUCGAGCGAAUGGAUUAAGAGCUUGCUCUUAUGAAGUUAGCGGCGGACGGGUGAGUAACACGUGGGUAACCUGCCCAUAAGACUGGGAUAACUCCGGGAAACCGGGGCUAAUACCGGAUAACAUUUUGAACCGCAUGGUUCGAAAUUGAAAGGCGGCUUCGGCUGUCACUUAUGGAUGGACCCGCGUGGCAUUAGCUAGUUGGUGAGGUAACGGCUCACCAAGGCAACGAUGCGUAGCCGACCUGAGAGGGUGAUCGGGCACACUGGGACUGAGACACGACCCAGACUCCUACGGGGGGCAGCAGUAGGGAAUCUUCCGCAAUGGACGAAAGUCUGACGGAGCAACGCCGCGUGAGUGAUGAAGGCUUUCGGGUCGUAAAACUCUGUUGUUAGGGAAGAACAAGUGCUAGUUGAAUAAGCUGGCACCUUGACGGUACCUAACCAGAAAGCCACGGCUAACUACGUGCCAGCAGCCGCCGUAA
rnacentral:rRNA from 1 species